rnacentral:misc_RNA from 1 species
GGAAGGCAGUGGAGACAGCUUUGCAGGGAAUUUCUCGACGCAAGAAAGGAAAUCUUUUUUCAAUCACAGUGAUAACACGACAGAGAUUCCCUGUGGAUUCCUCAAAGAAUUUCCCAUCAAACGAUCUGACAGGUUGGCAAUGGAGAACUGCACUGGCGUGGUGGUGGCAUCGGCAAUCUUUGGUGACCAUGACAAGCUCCGUCAGCCUAAAGGACUGGGAGUUAGGACACUGGAAACUGUUUGUUUCUUCAUGUUCAUUGAUAACACGACCCUUGGA